UUUUUGUUGGGGUCUUCAGGCUGGCCUCAAACACAGUCUUGCUCAGCAUCCCAAGUGCUGAGAUUACAGGCUAUUUGCCUGUAGCACAGCCUUGUUCCGGAGUCAGAUCCCAGCUCCAAGAAGUUUGUUCAACCCUCCCACUGUACCCCAGCUUAGUUUGUUUCUCUUUGUGUGGAAUUAAAACAAUAGCAACCUUUGUGAUUUGCCACAAAA